rnacentral:rRNA from 1 species
AGCGAACGCUGGCGGCAGGCCUAACACAUGCAAGUCGAACGAACUCUUCGGAGUUAGUGGCGGACGGGUGAGUAACACGUGGGAACGUGCCCUUAGGUUCGGAAUAACUCAGGGAAACUUGUGCUCAUACCACUUGUGCCCAUCGGGGGUAAGAUUUAUCGCCUUUAGAGCGGCCCGCGUCUGUUUCGCCAGUUGGUGAGGUAAAGGCUCACCAACGGGACGAUCAGUAGCUGGUCUGAGAGGAUGAUCAUCCAGGUUGGGACUGAGACACGGCCCAAACUCCUACGGGAGGCAGCAGUGGGGAAUCUUGCGCGAUGGGCGAAAGCCUAACGCAGCCAUGCCGCGUGAAUGAUGAAGGUCUUAGGAUUGUAAAAUUCUUUCACCGGGGACGAUAAUGACGGUACCCGGAGAAGAAGCCCCGGCUAACUUCGUG